rnacentral:tRNA from 1 species
GCUCAGAUAGUUUAGGAAAACAUCGGUCUUGUAAGCCGAAAUCGAGGACUCACACCCUCUCAGAGCAAACC